rnacentral:rRNA from 1 species
CGGCAGCACAGCAGUAGCAAUACUGUGGGUGGCGAGUGGCGGACGGGUGAGGAAUACAUCGGAAUCUGCCCAGUCGUGGGGGAUAACAUAGGGAAACUUAUGCUAAUACCGCAUACGACCUACGGGUGAAAGCGGGGGAUCGCAAGACCUCGCGCGAUUGGAUGAGCCGAUGUCCGAUUAGCUAGUUGGCGGGGUAAUGGCCCACCAAGGCGACGAUCGGUAGCUGGUCUGAGAGGAUGAUCAGCCACACUGGAACUGAGACACGGUCCAGACUCCUACGGGAGGCAGCAGUGGGGAAUAUUGGACAAUGGGCGCAAGCCUGAUCCAGCCAUGCCGCGUGGGUGAAGAAGGCCUUCGGGUUGUAAAGCCCUUUUGUCCGGAAAGAAAAGCACUGGAUUAAUACUUCGGUGUUCUGACGGUACCGGAAGAAUAAGCACCGGCUAACUUCGUGCCAGCAGCCGCGGUAAUACGAAGGGUGCAAGCGUUACUCGGAAUUACUGGGCGUAAAGCGUGCGUAGGUGGUUCGUUAAGUCUGAUGUGAAAGCCCUGGGCUCAACCUGGGAAUUGCAUUGGAUACUGGCGGGCUAGAGUGCGGUAGAGGAUGGCGGAAUUCCCGGUGUAGCAGUGAAAUGCGUAGAGAUCGGGAGGAACAUCUGUGGCGAAGGCGGCCAUCUGGACCAGCACUGACACUGAGGCACGAAAGCGUGGGGAGCAAACAGGAUUAGAUACCCUGGUAGUCCACGCCCUAAACGAUGCGAACUGGAUGUUGGGUGCAACUAGGCACUCAGUAUCGAAGCUAACGCGUUAAG